UCAUUCGCCAGGGGACAACGAGCCCCAGCUUGAAACCCAAAGGACUUGGCGGUGCUUUAGACCCCCCUAGAGGAGCCUGUUCUAGAAUCGAUGCUCCCCGUUCAACCUCACCCCCUCUUGUUUUUCCCGCCUAUAUACCGCCGUCGUCAGCUUACCCUGUGAAGGACUAAUAGUAAGCAAAAUUGGCAAAGCCAAAACGUCAGGUCAAGGUGUAGCAUACGAGGGGUGGAAGAAAUGGGCUACAUUUGCUGAUUCAGCAAAUACGGACGCUGCACUGAAAAAAGCAGCUAAAGGAGGAUUUAGCAGUAAGAGGAGGAAUAGAGAGCCCUCUGAAAACGGCCCUGAGCGCG
rnacentral:rRNA from 1 species